GAUGAACGCUGGCGGCGUGCCUAAUACAUGCAAGUCGGGCGAACGGACGAGAAGCUUGCUUCUCUGAUGUUAGCGGCGGACGGGUGAGUAACACGUGGAUAACCUACCUAUAAGACUGGGAUAACUUCGGGAAACCGGAGCUAAUACCGGAUAAUAUUUUGAACCGCAUGGUACAAAAGUGAAAGACGGUCUUGCUGUCACUUAUAGAUGGAUCCGCGCUGCAUUAGCUAGUUGGUAAGGUAACGGCUUACCAAGGCAACGAUGCAUAGCCGACCUGAGAGGGUGAUCGGCCACACUGGAACUGAGACACGGUCCAGACUCCUACGGGAGGCAGCAGUAGGGAAUCUUCCGCAAUGGGCGAAAGCCUGACGGAGCAACGCCGCGUGAGUGAUGAAGGUCUUCGGAUCGUAAAACUCUGUUAUUAGGGAAGAACAUAUGUGUAAGUAACUGUGCACAUCUUGACGGUACCUAAUCAGAAAGCCACGGCUAACUACGUG
rnacentral:rRNA from 1 species